AUUGAACGCUGGCGGCAUGCCUUACACAUGCAAGUCGAACGGUAACGGGCCUUCGGGUGCCGACGAGUGGCGAACGGGUGAGUAAUGUAUCGGAACGUACCUUUCAGUGGGGGAUAACGUAGCGAAAGUUACGCUAAUACCGCAUAUUCUGUGAGCAGGAAAGCAGGGGAUCGCAAGACCUUGCGCUGAUUGAGCGGCCGAUAUCAGAUUAGCUAGUUGGUGAGGUAAAGGCUCACCAAGGCGACGAUCUGUAGCGGGUCUGAGAGGAUGAUCCGCCACACUGGAACUGAGACACGGUCCAGACUCCUACGGGAGGCAGCAGUGGGGAAUUUUGGACAAUGGGGGCAACCCUGAUCCAGCCAUGUCGCGUGAGUGAAGAAGGCCUUCGGGUUGUAAAGCUCUUUCGGCCGGGAAGAAAUCGUAUGGGUUAAUACCCUGUGCGGAUGACGGUACCGGCAUAAGAAGCACCGGCUAACUACGUGCCAGCAGCCGCCGUAAAAC
rnacentral:rRNA from 1 species